AUAAACCUUCGGGGCAGGGUGAAAUUCCCGAUCGGUGGUAAAGCCCACGAGCGUUCGCAGCGCGAUGCCUACAUCGCUUUUAGGAGCGCAGGAUCCGGUGGAACUCCGGAGCCGACAGUGACAGUCUGGAUAGAAGAAGGUGGCG
rnacentral:ncRNA from 2 species